GGUGGUGACAGCUGAAGGAUCAACUGGGCCAUAGUUAAAGUCGAUGGUGGGAAUCCAUCCUGGGAGGUGAGGUAUGAUAACACCAUUGUAAUUAUACCUGAAAAAGUCUGUCUCUUCUCAAGAUGAAUACUAAGGCCAUGUUUUUCUUCCGGGGCCCAGUCCUCUGUGAGCUUCAGUUAAGCCUUCUCUCAUCCAGAGAGUAAGGCAAAAGCUAGGCUUUGUUUCUUAGAGGAUGCGGAAGCUUACAUGACAGCAGGUUUGGGCAGAGUCUGACAGUUCCUCUCGAGCUCCACAUUGCUAAUUUAUAAGGCACCAAGUUCCUUGGCUUACUCCUCUCUUCUCCCAUGGUCAUCUCUCAACCAAGUCACUGGAUGGAAACAUCUGAGAAAGACAUUUCCUCGGAGAUGCACAGACGCCUGCCUCAGAGCUUAUGUGUCAAGCAGCCUGCCAGAAAUUAGCUACAGCCGCCUUGGACAUGCCAGUGCGACCGACAGCUCUCGGUGGUGCAUCUAGGAUGCUAUGUUAACCAGCAGAGGUGGCCCCUAUAUCAAUGAGUCCCCUCCCACUUCAUUUGACUGACAGUUCUGGGACUGUUGCAGGCACCAGUCAGGAGGAGGGUGAGAUCUGAGCUCAUAUCAGAAGUCUGCUUUUACCUAAUUCUUCAAAAAUCACAAUUACUCAAAGAUGUCAGUAGGUCCCAUAGGAAUAAUAAAACCACCCUUUCAGAAGAUUGUUCAUGAAGAAAGGUGAACACUGAGAAAACUGAGGUGGACUACUCAAUUCUAAUAAAGACACACUCCAAA
rnacentral:sRNA from 1 species